rnacentral:rRNA from 1 species
UGCAGUCGAGCGGNUGAUGAAGAAGCUUGCUUCUUCUGAUUUUAGNNNNNNNNGGGUGAGUAACACGUGGGCAACCUACCUUGUAGAUUGGNAUAACUCCGGGAAACCGGGGCUAAUACCGAAUAAUCCAUUUUGCUUCAUGGCGAAAUGUUAAAAGGCGGCGAUCUCGCUGUCACUGCAAGAUGGGCCCGCGGCGCAUUAGCUAGUUGGUAAGGUAACGGCUUACCAAGGCGACGAUGCGUAGCCGACCUGAGAGGGUGAUCGGCCACACUGGGACUGAGACACGGCCCAGACUCCUACGGGAGGCAGCAGUAGGGAAUCUUCCACAAUGGGCGAAAGUCUGAUGGAGCAACGCCGCGUGAGUGAAGAAGGUUUUCGGAUCGUAAAACUCUGUUGUAAGGGAAGAACACGUACGANAGUAACUGCUCGUACCUUGACGGUACCUUAUUAGAAAGCCACGGCUAACUACGUGCCAGCAGCCGCGGUAAUACGUAGGUGGNAAGCGUUGUCCGGAAUUAUUGGGCGUAAAGCGCGCGCAGGCGGNCCUUUAAGUCUGAUGUGAANNCCCACGGCUCAACCGNNNNGNNNCAUUNNNAACUGGGGGACUUGAGUACAGAAGANNANGCG